GGCGAGGUGGCCGAGUGGUUAAGGCGUUGUACUCAUUCUUCAAUGUGCCAAGCACGCGCGGGUUCGAGUCCCGCCCUCGUCG